AUUUAACCACCACAAAAAUGAGAAUAUAAAAUGUAGUGAUAUACAGUUCAACUACUUAUUCACGGCAACUUAAGAUUUUAAUGCUAGACAAGCCACUUUUUCCUCAGCAGCCACUUUAAAGCUAAUGUGGGUUAUGAAGAUAUUGAAAAAAAAAUCACGUAUACUUGCUUUUUUAAAUUGCUGCACUCAAAAGUACCAAUUCUAGAUGAGUCCAUUCCACAAAGAACUAGAGCAUGUGUGUUUAAAAGUUUAACUUUCAAUACAAAAGAGAUAUACAGAUCAAAGAUUCAACUCUGUUUAGACUUUUUUGCCAUCUUCAAAAUAUUCAGACCAUAGCUGUUCCAAUUUUCUUACCUUAUAGAGCAGAAAUUGUUAAAACCAGUCAAAAUUUAUUUCUCAAAUACGCAUGGCUUUGAAUUUAGAAAAGCUUAGCUCUAAGUCUAGCUGUGAGCCAAAUGUCAGCCCAUGACCAAUUUUGUGGUUGUAUUGGAAAUUCCUGGGAAAUAGCUUAAGAGGAGACACGACGUCAACUCCUGUGCUGUGAGAGGGGCUAUAAAUUGGGUUACAUUUUGAAGAGUGAAAUAUGUCAAUGGUUGCAAUUCACAUAUCGAAUAUUCCAGCAUUAUUUAUUUGAUCAAAGUAAAAUACACUUUCCAUCACUACAAACUGAGCACAACUAUAGUUGUUUACACAUCCAUAUUUUUAUGACGUGCCAACAUUUUACAUCCUACGUAAAACAUUUGGUUUGAAAAAAAUCUUGAAGUUCUCUGUUUUGUUUCCUAUUUUCUCUCCUGUUGCCUCCAUUCUCUGAAGACAUUUUCUAUUAAUUGUGUAAGACUGAUUUCCCCAGACACCUAAAUGGUAUGGAGGACAGCAGGGAACAGCACAAGAUUUACCAUGCGGAGGGUUGGAUGGCAAACCUAACUUUGGCUAAUGACAUUGAGAACUUAGAAGGGUGAGCAGAGAGAUAUUCCAGGAAGUGGUAGUGAACCUAUAUUCCCAUUUAUGAGAAGCAGAGAAGGUUACAUACAUAAUAAUCUAUUGGAGGUAAAAGACUUCAGACACAAUCACUAAUUU